rnacentral:rRNA from 1 species
UACGAAGGGGGCUAGCGUUGUUCGGAAUUACUGGGCGUAAAGCGUGCGCAGGCGGCUUCUCAAGUCAGGGGUGAAAGCCCAGAGCUCAACUCUGGAAUUGCCUUUGAGACUGAGUGGCUUGAGUACGAGAGAGGUGAGUGGAAUUCCCAGUGUAGAGGUGAAAUUCGUAGAUAUUCGCAAGAACACCAGUGGCGAAGGCGGCUCACUGGCCCGGUACUGACGCUGAGGCGCGACAGCGUGGGGAGCAAACAGG